GACAGAGGUGCCGAGCGUUAGGCGGAAUCACUGGGCUUAAAGCGUGUGUAGGCGGAUCGUUAAGUACCUUGUGAAAUCCCACGGCUUAACCGUGGAACUGCUUGGUAUACUGGCGAUCUUGAGCCACCUAGGGGCAACCGGAACAAGUGGUGGAGCGGUGAAAUGCGUAGAUAUCACUUGGAACGCCAAUGGUGAAAACAGACUGCUGGGGGUGUGCUGACGCUGAGACACGAAAGCCAGGGGAGCAAACGGG
rnacentral:rRNA from 1 species